GUGCAGUUGUGUAGAUUGCAGUGUGUGCUGGGAAGUUCUCCUCAGAGAGCUUUGGGUGCAGAAUUGCCUGCAGGGAAGGCUGUGCCAAAUCCUCCUGUGCUGGAGCCCCGCAGGCAUCCCAGGGUGGCUGUUGUCUUUAUUGACUUCCCCGAAAAGACCGCUCGGUUCGAGGCUUUGUUUCUCUGAGAUUUCUCUUCAUGCUUUCUGUUAAGGUCCUGGAGGAUGGAAGGUGGCAUGGGAAGAUGGAAAAUAUUCCAAGAGACUGUCCCGUUUACUAAGGGCAAUCCUGAAGAAGGCAGCACGGGAGGCAGAUGGAGAGCCUGUGCACAGGGUGCAUUUCAGCAAGGCAGCCGUCUCACACUGCCCGUCCAGCCGGGAGCGACAGAGGCCACGCAAACAGCUGGUGCUGCAGGUGCGGAAGGGGAGGGACGUGGAAAUGGCAGAGAAGACCAAGUGUUACUGAAGUACUGCCUGGCACUGACUGCAGCUCUCGUGGUUUCCAUGCUGGCAGCAAUGAUAGCGUGCUGUCUGCUUAUCCGGCGAUGGAGGCAGAGCAACCAGCGCCUGGCUGCAGCUGAUGGAGCCCAGCAUGAUGUCCACGGCCACAGCAUGCCCUCGGAUGGACGUCCUGCUUUCCUCAAGGGGCCUGGCAGAUGGAGAUGA
rnacentral:lncRNA from 1 species